ACGGUGGAUGCCUUGGCACUAGAAGCCGAUGAAGGACGUUACUAACGACGAUAUGCUUUGGGGAGCUGUAAGUAAGCUUUGAUCCAGAGAUUUCCGAAUGGGGAAACCCAGCAUGAGUUAUGUCAUGUUAUCGAUAUGUGAAUACAUAGCAUAUCAGAAGGCACACCCGGAGAACUGAAACAUCUUAGUACCCGGAGGAAGAGAAAGAAAAUUCGAUUCCCUUAGUAGCGGCGAGCGAAACGGGAAGAGCCCAAACCAACAAGCUUGCUUGUUGGGGUUGUAGGACACUCUAUACGGAGUUACAAAGGACGACAUUAGACGAAUCAUCUGGAAAGAUGAAUCAAAGAAGGUAAUAAUCCUGUAGUCGAAAAUGUUGUCUCUCUUGAGUGGAUCCUGAGUACGACGGAGCACGUGAAAUUCCGUCGGAAUCUGGGAGGACCAUCUCCUAAGGCUAAAUACUCUCUAGUGACCGAUAGUGAACCAGUACCGUGAGGGAAAGGUGAAAAGCACCCCGGAAGGGGAGUGAAAUAGAACCUGAAACCGUGUGCUUACAAGUAGUCAGAGCCCGUUAAUGGGUGAUGGCGUGCCUUUUGUAGAAUGAACCGGCGAGUUACGAUUUGAUGCAAGGUUAAGCAGUAAAUGUGGAGCCGUAGCGAAAGCGAGUCUGAAUAGGGCGUUUAGUAUUUGGUCGUAGACCCGAAACCAGGUGAUCUACCCUUGGUCAGGUUGAAGUUCAGGUAACACUGAAUGGAGGACCGAACCGACUUACGUUGAAAAGUGAGCGGAUGAACUGAGGGUAGCGGAGAAAUUCCAAUCGAACCUGGAGAUAGCUGGUUCUCUCCGAAAUAGCUUUAGGGCUAGCCUCAAGUGAUGAUUAUUGGAGGUAGAGCACUGUUUGGACGAGGGGCCCCUCUCGGGUUACCGAAUUCAGACAAACUCCGAAUGCCAAUUAAUUUAACUUGGGAGUCAGAACAUGGGUGAUAAGGUCCGUGUUCGAAAGGGAAACAGCCCAGACCACCAGCUAAGGUCCCAAAAUAUAUGUUAAGUGGAAAAGGAUGUGGCGUUGCCCAGACAACUAGGAUGUUGGCUUAGAAGCAGCCAUCAUUUAAAGAGUGCGUAAUAGCUCACUAGUCGAGUGACACUGCGCCGAAAAUGUACCGGGGCUAAACAUAUUACCGAAGCUGUGGAUUGUCCUUUGGACAAUGGUAGGAGAGCGUUCUAAGGGCGUUGAAGCAUGAUCGUAAGGACAUGUGGAGCGCUUAGAAGUGAGAAUGCCGGUGUGAGUAGCGAAAGACGGGUGAGAAUCCCGUCCACCGAUUGACUAAGGUUUCCAGAGGAAGGCUCGUCCGCUCUGGGUUAGUCGGGUCCUAAGCUGAGGCCGACAGGCGUAGGCGAUGGAUAACAGGUUGAUAUUCCUGUACCACCUAUAAUCGUUUUAAUCGAUGGGGGGACGCAGUAGGAUAGGCGAAGCGUGCGAUUGGAUUGCACGUCUAAGCAGUAAGGCUGAGUAUUAGGCAAAUCCGGUACUCAUUAAGGCUGAGCUGUGAUGGGGAGAAGACAUUGUGUCUUCGAGUCGUUGAUUUCACACUGCCGAGAAAAGCCUCUAGAUAGAAAAUAGGUGCCCGUACCGCAAACCGACACAGGUAGUCAAGAUGAGAAUUCUAAGGUGAGCGAGCGAACUCUCGUUAAGGAACUCGGCAAAAUGACCCCGUAACUUCGGGAGAAGGGGUGCUCUUUAGGGUUAACGCCCAGAAGAGCCGCAGUGAAUAGGCCCAAGCGACUGUUUAUCAAAAACACAGGUCUCUGCUAACCGUAAGGUGAUGUAUAGGGGCUGACGCCUGCCCGGUGCUGGAAGGUUAAGAGGAGUGGUUAGCUUCUGCGAAGCUACGAAUCGAAGCCCCAGUAAACGGCGGCCGUAACUAUAACGGUCCUAAGGUAGCGAAAUUCCUUGUCGGGUAAGUUCCGACCCGCACGAAAGGCGUAACGAUUUGGGCACUGUCUCAACGAGAGACUCGGUGAAAUCAUAGUACCUGUGAAGAUGCAGGUUACCCGCGACAGGACGGAAAGACCCCGUGGAGCUUUACUGUAGCCUGAUAUUGAAAUUCGGCACAGCUUGUACAGGAUAGGUAGGAGCCUUUGAAACGUGAGCGCUAGCUUACGUGGAGGCGCUGGUGGGAUACUACCCUAGCUGUGUUGGCUUUCUAACCCGCACCACUUAUCGUGGUGGGAGACAGUGUCAGGCGGGCAGUUUGACUGGGGCGGUCGCCUCCUAAAAGGUAACGGAGGCGCUCAAAGGUUCCCUCAGAAUGGUUGGAAAUCAUUCAUAGAGUGUAAAGGCAUAAGGGAGCUUGACUGCGAGACCUACAAGUCGAGCAGGGUCGAAAGACGGACUUAGUGAUCCGGUGGUUCCGCAUGGAAGGGCCAUCGCUCAACGGAUAAAAGCUACCCCGGGGAUAACAGGCUUAUCUCCCCCAAGAGUUCACAUCGACGGGGAGGUUUGGCACCUCGAUGUCGGCUCAUCGCAUCCUGGGGCUGUAGUCGGUCCCAAGGGUUGGGCUGUUCGCCCAUUAAAGCGGUACGCGAGCUGGGUUCAGAACGUCGUGAGACAGUUCGGUCCCUAUCCGUCGUGGGCGUAGGAAAUUUGAGAGGAGCUGUCCUUAGUACGAGAGGACCGGGAUGGACAUACCUCUGGUGUACCAGUUGUCGUGCCAACGGCAUAGCUGGGUAGCUAUGUGUGGACGGGAUAAGUGCUGAAAGCAUCUAAGCAUGAAGCCCCCCUCAAGAUGAGAUUUCCCAACUUCGGUUAUAAGAUCCCUCAAAGAUGAUGAGGUUAAUAGGUUCGAGGUGGAAGCAUGGUGACAUGUGGAGCUGACGAAUACUAAUCGAUCGAAGACUUAAUCAA
rnacentral:rRNA from 1 species